UCAUCUCCUGAUGAGAAGUUGAAAGGCGGCUUUUGCUGUCACUUACAGAUGGGCCUGCGGCGCAUUAGCUAGUUGGUAAGGUAAUGGCUUACCAAGGCGACGAUGCGUAGCCGACCUGAGAGGGUGAUCGGCCACACUGGGACUGAGACACGGCCCAGACUCCUACGGGAGGCAGCAGUAGGGAAUCUUCCGCAAUGGACGAAAGUCUGACGGAGCAACGCCGCGUGAGUGAUGAAGGUUUUCGGAUCGUAAACUCUGUUGUUAGGGAAGAACAAGUGCCAUAGUAACUGAUGGCGCCUUGACGGUACCUAACCAGAAAGCCACGGCUAACUACGUGCCAGCAGCCGCGGUAAUACGUAGGUGGCAAGCGUUGUCCGGAAUUAUUGGGCGUAAAGCGCUCGCAGGCGGUUCUUUAAGUCUGAUGUGAAAUCUUACGACUCAACCGUAAACGUGCAUUGGAAACUGGGGAACUUGAGUGCAGAAGAG
rnacentral:rRNA from 1 species